GGAGGUGGAGGUGACGCUACCGGAGGCGGUGGUGAGUGAACGGGAGGUGGAGGUGGAGGUGAGGCCACUGGUGGCGGUGGUGAGUGAACGGGAGGUGGAGGUGAAGCCAUUGUUGGUGGUGGUGGUGAGUGGACGGGAGGUGGAGGUGACGCCACUGGAGGCGGUGGUGAGUGGACGGGAGGUGGAGGUGAGGCCACUGGUGGUGGUGGAGAUCGAGCUGGAGGUGGUGGUGAAGCCACUGGGGAUGGAGGUGAAGCCAGUGGUGGUGGUGGUGAGUGGACUGGAGGUGGAGGUGAUGCCACCGGUGGUGGUGGAGAUUGGACUAGAGGUGGUGGCGGUGAUGGUGGUGGUAAAGUAUUUGGUGGUGGGGGAGGUGAGGCAACUGGAGGUGGGGAUGGGGGUAAAUAAUUUGGUGGUGGGGGAGGUGAGGCAACUGGCGGUGGUGGAGAUGUGACCGGGGGUGGAAUGGUGGUUUUUGGUGGAGGUGAUUUGGGAGUCGGUGGUGGC
rnacentral:lncRNA from 1 species